rnacentral:rRNA from 1 species
UGGGGAAUUUUGGACAAUGGGCGAAAGCCUGAUCCAGCAAUGCCGCGUGUGUGAAGAAGGCCUUCGGGUUGUAAAGCACUUUUGUCCGGAAAGAAAUCCUUGGCUCUAAUACAGUCGGGGGAUGACGGUACCGGAAGAAUAAGCACCGGCUAACUACGUGCCAGCAGCCGCGGUAAUACGUAGGGUGCAAGCGUUAAUCGGAAUUACUGGGCGUAAAGCGUGCGCAGGCGGUUUGCUAAGACCGAUGUGAAAUCCCCGGGCUCAACCUGGGAACUGCAUUGGUGACUGGCAGGCUAGAGUAUGGCAGAGGGGGGUAGAAUUCCACGUGUAGCAGUGAAAUGCGUAGAGAUGUGGAGGAAUACCGAUGGCGAAGGCAGCCCCCUGGGCCAAUACUGACGCUCAUGCACGAAAGCGUGGGGGAGCAAACAGGAUUAGAUACCCUGGGUAGUCCACGCCCUAAACGAUGUCAACUAGUUGUUGGGGAUUCAUUUCCUUAGUAACGUAGCUAACGCGUGAAGUUGACCGCCUGGGGAGUACGGUCGCAAGAUUAAAACUCAAAUGAAUUGACGGGGUCAUA